rnacentral:rRNA from 1 species
UACGAGGGGGGCAAGCGUUGUUCGGAAUUAUUGGGCGUAAAGGGUGCGUAGGCGGUUUGGUAAGUCUUAUGUGAAAUCUACAGGCUCAACUUGUAGUCUGCAUGAGAAACUGUCGGGCUCGAGUCCGGAAGAGGAGUGUGGAAUUCCUGGUGUAGCGGUGAAAUGCGCAGAUAUCAGGAGGAACACCAAUGGCGAAGGCAGCACUCUGGGACGUGACUGACGCUGAGACGCGAAAGCGUAGGGAGCAAACAGG